GAUUAACGCUGGCGGCGUGCAUAACACAUGCAAGUCGAACGAUGAAACUUAAAUGAUUUCUUCGGAAUGAACUUAAGUGGAUUAGUGGCGGACGGGUGAGUAACGCGUGAGUAACCUGCCUUACACAAGGGGAUAGCCGUUGGAAACGACGAAUAAUACCCUAUGAAACUAUCACUUCGCAUGAAGCGAUAGUCAAAGUGUUAGCGGUGUAAGAUGGACUUGCGUCUGAUUAGCUAGUUGGGGAGAAAAAAGCCCACCAAGGCAACGAUCAGUAGCCGGCUUGAGAGAGUGUACGGCCACAUUGGGACUGAGACACGGCCCAGACUCCUACGGGAGGCAGCAGUGGGGAAUUUUGCACAAUGGGGGAAACCCUGAUGCAGCGACGCCGCGUGAUUUAGAAGGCCUUCGGGUUGUAAAAAUCUUUUGUAUAGGAAGAAAAUGACAGUACUAUACGAAUAAGGUCCGGCUAAUUACGUG
rnacentral:rRNA from 1 species